rnacentral:rRNA from 1 species
UACGGAGGGGGCUAGCGUUGUUCGGAAUUACUGGGCGUAAAGCGCACGUAGGCGGCUUUGCAAGUUAGAGGUGAAAGCCCGGGGCUCAACUCCGGAAUUGCCUUUUAAACUGCAUCGCUAGAGUUGUGGAGAGGUAAGUGGAAUUCCGAGUGUAGAGGUGAAAUUCGUAGAUAUUCGGAAGAACACCAGUGGCGAAGGCGGCUCACUGGCCCGGAACUGACGCUGAGGUGCGAAAGCGUGGGGAGCAAACAGG